AUUGAACGCUGGCGGCAUGCCUUACACAUGCAAGUCGAACGGCAGCACGGGAGCUUGCUCCUGGUGGCGAGUGGCGAACGGGUGAGUAAAGCAUCGGAACGUAUCCGGAAGUGGGGGAUAACGUAGCGAAAGUUACGCUAAUACCGCAUAUUCUGUGAGCAGGAAAGAGGGGGAUCGCAAGACCUCUCGCUUUCGGAGCGGCCGAUGUCGGAUUAGCUAGUUGGUGGGGUAAAGGCUCACCAAGGCAACGAUCCGUAGCGGGCCUGAGAGGAUGAUCCGCCACACUGGAACUGAGACACGGUCCAGACUCCUACGGGAGGCAGCAGUGGGGAAUUUUGGACAAUGGGCGCAAGCCUGAUCCAGCCAUGCCGCGUGAGUGAAGAAGGCCUCGG
rnacentral:rRNA from 1 species